GGAGUUAAUAUUCCUCAAAAUAAUUGCACCUACCGAUGGUUGAACCAGUUAUUUCAACUCUAGAACUACAAUAAGGGAUCGGACUCAAAAUUCUGAGACCAUUACACAAUAACAUUGGGCAAGACGAAGUGAAUAAUCUCUUUGAUUACAUAGAAAGUGGCACUGGAUGAUAUAAUGCGAGUGAUAGCGGAUAGAUUUAAAUAAAUCAAGACCAUUGACAAGGAAGUUACAACAGACCGAUCUUACUCCCAUGAUGAUUGUGGCAAUAGAACUCCAAGGGAAAAAUCAUCCAAGAACGAGAUGCAGUGAGAUGCAUGUGUCCAACCAUAUCCAUUGGGUGAAAUAUUACCUGGAAGAAUGGGCAGUAUCUUGGAUCAAAGUUUAGUUCAAAACAUGCUGAGAAGAGCUUUGAGAAAAGGUACUGAUGUCUUCAAUGAAUUUGAGUAUCUCCAUAGAGCAGAGGAUGUCUACAGACAAACAUCGGUGCCAGUCCGUUAAUGUUCACGCUACUCUGGGCAAUUAUGCCCCCUACAUUUAAAUGUUUAUGAAUUCAUGUCUAUAAACAUGAUGUGAAUCAUUGGACUUUCACUGAUCUUAUCAUCCCGUUUGAAUUUUAACCUGGAAAAUAAUAAAAAAGUAUACUUCGCAUGAUGUAGAUGUGUUGAUUGAUCGAAUCUUGAGUGGAAAUACGAAAAGAAUUUUUCUUCUAGCAACACGAAUUAGCAACACUAAAUGUUCCUCGAGAUUUCUUUCUGGAAUUCCGCAUUUUCUGUCAACAAAUCUAUAUUCC